ensembl:lncRNA
GCAAAAAGGCAUGGAAAACCAAGACACUAGCUGAAAUCUGUCAGGAAUUAGAAAUACUGCCUCUUGUCAGUGGAAAUUAAUAUUAGCUGGUUCAGUCCCAACCCCUACAGUACCAGGAUGAAGAUGAAACUAGGGUAGACAUUUCAGCAAGACACUGGUCCCAAACACAGCCAAGGAAACUUGCGAUUGGUUUCAGAAAAAGAAAAUAAAGCUGCUAGAGUGGCCCAGCCAAUCACCUGACUUGAAUUCAAUAGUGUAAUGAUCAGGGUCGUUUAGGCAAGGUCAGAUCCAAUUGCAGCUUUUAUUCAAACAAAGAGCAUAGUCAGACAGGCAAAGGUCAUACACCAGCAACCAGUGUCCAUAGGGCAAGGCAAGAGAAUAAUCCAAUACAGGCAAUAGUCAAAAAAGGCAAGCAGCAAGUGAUCAAAGGUGAGAAACAGAAUACAAACACUUGGUAUGGCAGCUAGGCUAAUCAAUACUCAGGCCCUGUAUGUGAGCGAGUGCAACUUUUAUGGUGUCCGGGUUAUUGGAAACAGGCGAGUGAGUAAUCAGAGGGGAUCUUGGGAAAUGGAGUCCAGGGUGAAUGUCUGAGUGGCAACCUCUGGUUGUGAGCAGGGAACGGAUCGUGACAGAGCCCUCCCCAAAGGAGUGGCUUCCAGACGCUCCCAACAGUAUAAUCCAGAAAGAAAGGGGAGCGGAGGCGGAACGGGGGAGGGAUGGAGGACCAGGUUCAUGUGCAGGAAGAGAACCUGAUUCCCGAGGCAGAGCCGGCGGAACAGGGAAUCAGGGCGGAGCUGAAGAGUACCAGAGCAGAGCAUCAGGGUGGAGCCGGCAGAACUGAGGACCACCAGGGUGGAGCAGAUGGCCACAAUAGCAGAGCAGAUGGGUCCGAAGAUCCCCACAAUGGAGCAGAAGACCACCAUGGCGGAUGAGGAAGCCAGGGCUGAGACUGAGAACUCAGAGGAACUGAAACAUAAGAAACAAACAGUUUACUUAUGGCCCCAAAGACCAAGGUAGAAGGCACCGUGAGUUCAUUGAAAAACUCCUCGGCUGUGAUAGACAGGACUGAAGGUUCAUUAACAGCCUUCAUAGCCGUGACAGGACAGGCACAGGUUCACAGACGGCCUCCAUAGCCAUGACAACAGAACGAGGAUUCACAGGCGGCCUCCAUAAAUGCCGCAAAACAGUCAAAAUUUUCACAACCCACCUCCUUUGUAAACCAUGAUUUUACAGGCUCAUUCAGUCCAAAACAAAAAAUGUCUUUUAAAGUGACUUAAUCAAAUGGAACUUGGCUAGAUAACUCACAAAACUGCUGAACAUAGUCCUCAAUUGAUGAGUCUCCUUGCCAGAUACAUAGAAGCUGGUC